GCACAUGCGCAGAAUCAUCGUGGUGCACGGCUCUCCCUUUGCUUCUUCGGUUGCAGUCCUCUUGCUUCUUGCGCGUGCGUGUAGCGCUUUUGCAAAGCCGCGGAGGUGAAGUGAACUUAGAGGCUGUGGGGCCGAGGGGUCCUCUUAUAGCUACCAGCCCACAGGCAUUUAGUCUACGUUGGAGGUAAACAAAUACGGGUCCAGCUUAGGAGAAAAGAAAAACGUCUUACAGCCAGUGUCUAAACUCCAAACAACGGAAUGUAUCAAUGAGACCUUGUAUAUGGAUACACGUGCAUUUAAAACCGCCCUGCCGGCUUGUAGAGCUCUUGCCGUUCUCCAGCGCUUUACAGGGGUUAUCGCACUUCAGCCUCGGAACAACUUUACCAGAUGAGGACACCUGAGGCUCAGAUUAAGAAAUCUGCCCCAAAGUCUUAGAACUGGUAUUCUCCACUGGUUGAAUGCAAAUGGAAGCCAGAGGAAAAGGGAACCCUUGACACAGUUUUCAUAUAGAUUGGCCUCCAGAGCAGACAGCAGGAGGGGGGUUUAAUCUGGACUGAAUUGGAGGAAAGGAACUGGCACCAGAGUGGAGGCUGGAAGGAUGGUGGAACUGACACUGGGACAGAACACAGAAAACAGAAUCUAAUGCUAUUGCUCUGGCUAUAUCAAAUAAAAGUGUCAAGAGUGAGCAUCCUUGCCUUGUGCUGAAUCACAAAGGAAUACCUUUCAGUUUUUCUCCAUUGAUUAUGAUAGCAGUGGGCUUUUCACAGUGGGCUUUAUUGUGUUGAGGUACCCUAAUGACAAGUUCACCCCAGUGUUUUCUGAGGAGUCUACCUGGAAAUGAGAACCAUCUGUCCUUCCUAUAGUAGUUCUUCUCAGAAUGCCGACUCUAUGCUAAUGGAGGAGGUCUGAUGGCCGGGAGGACAGGAAGAAGGAACCCACAAUAAAGCAAAAGUCGCGUUUAACUCUGUCCUCACCAUUCCUCUCCUGGGCCUGUCCUAAACUGGAAGCUGGGGGAGGAUGGAGUGCUGGAAUGCUGCAGAAGUCUCAUGGGAGGGCGCCUGGUGUUCACCACAUGUGUACCCUGUUGCACGACCAGAUGGAAAUUUGAAUGCUGGGGCUCAGUGGAACACCUGAAGGAAGCUGGUGAGGCAGAUGUCCCGCUAUGCCUUCCAAGUGUCAUGCAACCAGUUCAUGCCUGUCAGCAUCUCUGCCGGUGGACUCUGUGAGUCAGCAAAUCUACAGAGCAGAGAGCCACAAGUGGGGACAGAUGUGGUCAAAUGCCAUUUAAAUCAGUGAUUCUCAACCCAGGAGUUGUCAUGGCACUGGCCUUGAGUGAGCUGGACCAAGGGAAGUGGUAGAAUUCCCCAUGAAGGACCAAGUAAGCAGAUAGAACUUUCUCCAUUUUAACUUUUUCUGAGUCAAUUUAAAAAACACCUAGUGCCUUUUUCUGU
rnacentral:lncRNA from 1 species